rnacentral:rRNA from 1 species
UACGUAGGGUGCAAGCGUUGUCCGGAAUUAUUGGGCGUAAAGAGCUUGUAGGCGGUUUGUCGCGUCUGCUGUGAAAUUUCGGGGCUCAACCCCGAACUUGCAGUGGGUACGGGCAGACUAGAGUGUGGUAGGGGAGACUGGAAUUCCUGGUGUAGCGGUGAAAUGCGCAGAUAUCAGGAGGAACACCGGUGGCGAAGGCGGGUCUCUAGUACGGUACUGACGCUGAGACGCGAAAGCGUGGGGAGCGAACAGG